GAUGAACGCUAGCUACAGGCUUAACACAUGCAAGUCGAGGGAACGGCGCACGGGUGAGAAACACGUAUCCAACCUACCCUUGCCUCGGGGAUAGACUUUCGAAAGAGAGUUUAAUACCACAUAUAAAGGAUGGGGAUGCGUUGCAUGAGGUUGUUUGUGAGGUAACCGCCCAACAAGCCUUGGAUGGGUAGCGGUUCUGAGAGGAAGGUCCCCCACAUUGGAACUGGGACACGGUCCAAACUCCUACUGGAGGCAGCAGUGAUGAAUAUUGGGCAAUGUGCGUUAGCCUGAACCAGCCAAUUAGCGUGAAGGAUGAAGGCUUAUGGGUCUUAAACGUCUUUUAUAUAUGAAUAUGUAUUAUAUGAAUAAGGAUCGGCUAACUCCGUGCCAGCAGCCGCGGUAAUAC
rnacentral:rRNA from 1 species